CCUACGGGAGUCAGCAGUGGGGAAUAUUGCACAAUGGGGGAAACCCUGAUGCAGCGACGCCGCGUGAGUGAAGAAGUAAUUCGUUAUGUAAAGCUCUAUCAGCAGGGAAGAAAAUGACGGUACCUGCGUAAGAAGCCCCGGCUAACUACGUGCCAGCAGCCGCGGUAAUACGUAGGGGGCAAGCGUUAUCCGGAUUUACUGGGUGUAAAGGGAGCGUAGACGGCAGUGCAAGUCUGGAGUGAAAGGCGGGGGCUCAACCCCCGGACUGCUCUGGAAACUGUACGGCUGGAGUGCAGGAGAAGUACGCGGAAUGCGCGGUGUAGCGGUGAAAUGCAUAGAUAUCGCGCAGAACUCCGAUUGCGAAGGCAGCGUACCGGCGCCGGACUGACGCUGAGGCACGAAAGCGUGGGUAUCGAACAGGAUUAGAUACCCCUGUAGUC
rnacentral:rRNA from 1 species